rnacentral:rRNA from 1 species
UCGCUGCCCGGAACUGAGCCGUUUCGAGAAAGCUGGGGACUGACGACUUGUGGGUGCGCAAGCACUUCUAGUCGAUGGAAACCAGUUUAAUCGGUAUGGCUUGAACCGGGCAA